rnacentral:lncRNA from 1 species
CGCUCCGCUUGUGGAGCAUCCCUCUUCCCCUGUACUUACCAAAGCCCUCAGUGGGAGCAUAAAUUUAACCCUUCUACUUUGGCGGCCCAGUGGCUGGGACAACUUCACAUUUACUUUGUUGUCAUGUGUCCCUACUAGACGGUCAGAACCCCGAGGCUGAGGAUUAUUAUAUCUAGUUUUGCUAACAAAUUUAAAUGCCAACCAGAGGAACAGUCUAUGAAACAGAACGAGUUGCUUUCACCACAGCAGAAGAUAAGUUCUUUGGUCAUUUGCUGAAUUACCAUGCCCAUCCUGCAUGUUUCUUUACCCCAAAGUAGGAAGGGCCUAACAGAUUAAAGAUGCUGCUCCCUCCAUUUUUAAAAUAAAUUUAAUGAGUAUUAA